GAUGAACGCUGGCGGCGUGCCUAAUACAUGCAAGUCGAGCGAACAGACGAGGAGCUUGCUCCUCUGACGUUAGCGGCGGACGGGUGAGUAACACGUGGAUAACCUACCUAUAAGACUGGGAUAACUUCGGGAAACCGGAGCUAAUACCGGAUAAUAUAUUGAACCGCAUGGUUCAAUAGUGAAAGACGGUUUUGCUGUCACUUUAAGUUGGUCCCCGCCGCAUUAGCUUGUUGGUAAGGUAACGGCUUACCAGGGCGACGAUGCGUAGCCGACCUGAGAGGGUGAUCGGCCACACUGGAACUGAGACACGGUCCAGACUCCUACGGGAGGCAGCAGUAGGGAAUCUUCCGCAAUGGGCGAAAGCCUGACGGAGCAACGCCGCGUGAGUGAUGAAGGUCUUCGGAUCGUAAAACUCUGUUAUUAGGGAAGAACAAAUGUGUAAGUAACUAUGCACGUCUUGACGGUACCUAAUCAGAAAGCCACGGCUAACUACGUG
rnacentral:rRNA from 1 species